AAAAUCGACAGACUGAUUGAUGGCUUUUACCUCAAAAAACUAAGUCGGGGCACUUGUAUCUCAAGGCACCACUGUACCUGAAAAAUCGACUUAAGUACAAAUGUGGUUACUUCCCACCACUGCAUUUUUAUAUAUCUUUUGUGUUAGAUUUUCAUCGAUUGUGUACGUGUACCAAAUAAAUUGUACUGCCUGUGUCUCACCAAGUGCAGUCUCCAGAGCUGGUGAUGAUCUCGCUGUCGCUGAUGAAACGACAGCAGGACAGGUUGUAGAUGGAGCACAUGUUGUCCAGGCCGCCGCACGCCACCAGGUUGCCAGACGGGGCGUAGGCACACGUCAUCACCCACGACGACUUGAGUGGGAUGGCGUUCACCUGGAGGAGGAAAACACAUCAAUUAAUCAUGAUGUUUUCAGAGGCGUCUGUUUUGAAGAAGAAAAGCCUGCUCGCGACCCGCUCGGCAAAGACUUGAGUUGUUCCCUCAGGAGACCACAGAGAACCAAACACCAAGAGUUUCUCUCCUGCUGCUGGCCCUUGUGAGACUAAUGGACAUUUUAAACAUGGCUUCCAUCUUUGGUACUGAUACAUCCCCUCCUAAAGUAUUGGAACACUUUGAUCAAAGUGAGGCCGUCUAGCGUCUCGUGAGGCGUAUGCGGCGACCGUCGACCCCGGUCUCCUGCUGCUGCAACCGCCUAUCAAGAGACAGACAAGAAUAUUAAUAGGGCUAUUUUUCCUAACAUGGUGGGUAGCACUGAGUUCUGGUACUGGAAGAGAAGCAGCCGAAUCUAGAGCAAGAAGAGGAUGCUUUUGUGUACGCUACCACGUUUUGUUGUUUUUAUGUUCGUUGUUCCCACAGAGCUUUAUGUAUCGCUGUAUGCUCAGUAUACACACACACACACACAUAUAUAUAUAUAUAUAUAUAUAUAUAUAUAUAUAUAUAUAGUUUUAUUUAAUUAUACCCAAAUCGCUAAUGUAACACAGUUAAAUUACAUUAAAUUUUCUAUGGUUUCGCUGUAAUUUAAAGUAAUUUGUGUACAACCCCAAUUCCAAUGAAGUUGGGACAUUGUGUUAAACAUAAAUAAAAAACAGAAUACAAUGAUUUGCAAAUCAUGUUCAACCUAUAUUUAAUUCAAUACACUACAAAGACAAGAUAUUUAAUGUUCAAACUGAUAUACUUUAUUGUUUUAGCAAAUCAUCAUUAACUUAGAAUUUUAUGGAUGCAACACAUUCCAAAAAAGCUGGGACAGGGUCAUGUUUACCACUGUGUUACAUCACCUUUUCUUUUAACAACAUUCAAUAAAUGUUUGGGAACGGAGGACACUAAUUGUUGAAGCUUUGUAGGUGGAAUUCUUUCCCAUUCUUGCUUGAUGUACAGCUUCAGCUGUUCAACAGUCCGGGGUCUCCGUUGUCGUAUUUUACGCUUCAUAAUGUGCCACGCAUUUUCAAUGGGAGAAAGCAGGCCAGUCUGGUACCCGCAGUCUUUUACUACGAAGCCACGCUGUUGUAACACGUGCAGAAUGUGGUUUGGCAUUGUCUUGCUGAAAUAAGCAAGGGCAUCCAUGAAAAAGACGUUGCUUGGAUGGCAGCAUAUGUUUCUCCAAAAUCUAUAUGUACCUUGCAGCAUUAAUGGUGCCUUCACAGAUGUGUAAGUUACCCAUGCCAUUGGCACUAACACAGCCCCAUACUAUCACUAUCUUCUUUAGGCUGCCAAGAUGUAUAUAUCAAUUAUGCCACUUGAGAGCAAAAAAAUCUGAACUGUAAUCUGACUCACUGCUGCCAUCUGCAACAUCCUCUCACACUCUUUGUCAGUCAUGACUCCAUCGAGCACCACCCGGUUGGUCCCGUUUAGGAGCAGGUCGUCCAUGGUGAUGGUCAC